GAUGAAGAACGUAGCGAAAUGCGAUACGUAAUGUGAAUUGCAGAAUUCAGUGAAUCAUCGAGUCUUUGAACGCACAUUGCGCCCUCUGGUAUUCCGGAGGGCAUGCCUGUCCGAGCGUCAUUGCUGCCCUCAAGCACGGCUUGUGUGUUGGGCUCCGUCCCCCGAUCCCGGGGGACGGGCCCGAAAGGCAGCGGCGGCACCGCGUCCGGUCCUCGAGCGUAUGGGGCUUUGUCACCCGCUCUUGUAGGCCCGGCCGGCGCUUGCCGACACAUCAAUCUUUUUUCCAGGUUGACCUCGGAUCAGGUAGGGAUACCCGCUGAACUUAAGCAUAUCAAUAAGCGGAGGA
rnacentral:misc_RNA from 1 species